CCUUCCCUUAGAGGUGUUGCAGGUGUGGAUGCUGUGUCACAUGUGCAUCAGUAGGUGGCAAAAAGGAGAGAGGCUAUGUCUAUGCUCAGUGUUAUGAAUUAUGAAUAUGAAUAUCUGAAUGAUUAGUAACCUAAUAGU